rnacentral:rRNA from 1 species
AGUGAACGCUGGCGGUAGGCCUAACACAUGCAAGUCGAACGGCAGCACAGUAAGAGCUUGCUCUUACGGGUGGCGAGUGGCGGACGGGUGAGGAAUACAUCGGAAUCUACUUUUUCGUGGGGGAUAACGUAGGGAAACUUACGCUAAUACCGCAUACGACCUACGGGUGAAAGCAGGGGAUCUUCGGACCUUGCGCGAUUGAAUGAGCCGAUGUCGGAUUAGCUAGUUGGCGGGGUAAAGGCCCACCAAGGUGACGAUCCGUAGCUGGUCUGAGAGGAUGAUCAGCCACACUGGAACUGAGACACGGUCCAGACUCCUACGGGAGGCAGCAGUGGGGAAUAUUGGACAAUGGGCGCAAGCCUGAUCCAGCCAUACCGCGUGGGUGAAGAAGGCCUUCGGGUUGUAAAGCCCUGUUGUUGGGAAAGAAAAGCAGCAGGUUAAUACCCCGCUGUUCUGACGGUACCCAAAGAAUAAGCACCGGCUAACUUCGUG